rnacentral:rRNA from 1 species
AUUGAACGCUGGCGGCAUGCCUUACACAUGCAAGUCGAACGGUAACAGGUCUUCGGAUGCUGACGAGUGGCGAACAGGUGAGUAAUACAUCGGAACGUGCCCGAUCGUGGGGGAUAACGAGGCGAAAGCUUUGCUAAUACCGCAUACGAUCUACGGAUGAAAGCGGGGGAUCUUCGGACCUCGCGCGGACGGAGCGGCCGAUGGCAGAUUAGGUAGUUGGUGGGAUAAAAGCUUACCAAGCCGACGAUCUGUAGCUGGUCUGAGAGGAUGAUCAGCCACACUGGGACUGAGACACGGCCCAGACUCCUACGGGAGGCAGCAGUGGGGAAUUUUGGACAAUGGGCGAAAGCCUGAUCCAGCCAUGCCGCGUGCAGGAUGAAGGCCUUUGGGUUGUAAACUGCCUUUGUACGGAACGAAAAGCCUCUUUCUAAUAAAGAGGGGUCAUGACGGUACCGUAAGAAUAAGCACCGGCUAACUACGUG